CUUCACAACACAAGGAAUUCUAGUCCAGAAAGGCCACGAGACCUUCAUAUCAAGCUGCUUCUUAGGGCAACAUUCCACAGUUGGUGGAGAUAAAGGUGAAAGAGAUUUCUCAGGCACUGCCAUUGAGCUGGCUAGCAAUGAUAAUGCAAUAACAGAUGUUGCAAUCUUCUCAGCUGCCAUUGGAGUGCUAUUGAAAGGUCAGGCUAAUAUUCUGACGGGAAUACACUGCUAUAACAAGGCAACGUUUUGGGGUGGCAUUGGAGUUCUGGUGAAGCAAUUUGCUUCACUCACCAGGAUAGAUAACUGUUACCUGGAUUACAAUUCUGUAGUCAUCGAAGAUCCAGUUCAGGUUCAUGUCACUGAUGGGCUCUUCUUGGGAGAUGGCAAUGUUGUUUUGAAAGCUAUAAAAGGCAAAAUUUCUGGGGUUAAUAUAGUCAAUAAUAUGUUUAAUGGGAACCCAAAAAAUAUGGUUCCUAUAGUAAGAUUAGAUGGGAUUUUUACUAGCGUUGAUCAGGUGGUGAUUGACAAGAACAAUGUGAAUGGUAUGAGCUUGAAAUCAACUACAGGGAGACAAACAGUGGCUGGAAAUGGAACAAGAUGGGCAGCUGAUUUUUCAUCUUUGCUGAUAUUUCCAGACAUGAUUAAUCAUUUUCAGUUCUCAUUUUACAGUAGUGAAAAGGGGUUGCUGCCAGUACAUGCAGCAGUGACAAAUGUGUCAAAUAAUGUGGUGGUUGUGGAGAGUGACAAAGCAGUUAAUGGGGUUGUUUCUAUAGUGGUUGAUCAGUAUAAUAUGGUUGGAGAGGGUAUUGUUUUUAUGUAAAUAUUAACUGGGUCAUGGGCAUCACUUCAUA
rnacentral:misc_RNA from 1 species